rnacentral:rRNA from 1 species
UACGAAGGGGGCUAGCGUUGCUCGGAAUUACUGGGCGUAAAGGGCGCGUAGGCGGAUAGUUUAGUCAGAGGUGAAAGCCCGGGGCUCAACCUUGGAAUUGCCUUUGAUACUGGCUGUCUUGAGUUCGGGAGAGGUGAGUGGAAUGCCGAGUGUAGAGGUGAAAUUCGUAGAUAUUCGGCGGAACACCAGUGGCGAAGGCGACUCACUGGCCCGAUACUGACGCUGAGGCGCGAAAGCGUGGGGAGCAAACAGG